rnacentral:lncRNA from 1 species
GCACGAUUUAAAGUUAUUGCAUUUAUAGCUUGGGGACACAAAUAUCCAACGAAUAAAGGCUAGAACCUGGGGUAUAAUUUUCCCUUGUGAAAAUAUACGCGCUGAACUUAUACGAGCGGGGAAUAUACGCGCUGAACUUAUACGAGCCGGAAAUAGACGCGCUGUACUUAUACGAGCGUAAGAGAGACAUGCUAUAAGAGGCGCGUCAUUAGAGAAAUUGGCUGGUGGCCCAGAGUCCAAACCACUCUCCAAACCACCACGCGUCGGAGCAACAACAGGCUUGGACGGAAAUUCAAGAAUGAAUUACUGUAAUCCCAGUCCUAUUCCAGCCCACACUCCAUCCCCACCCCCAAAUACAUACACACACAUAAACAGAGAGAGAGAAGAGAGCACUCAAAUCCGUACAAAGACAAAGAGCAGUGAAGGGGAGUGAUUUUACGUUACAUAUUCAGUGCAUUCUUAUCCAGACUUUGUCUUCAUGCUUUGGAUUGUGCUUUUUAAGCUGGAAUUGCUCUCGGAUCUGAAGAAAUAAAAAUUUGUUCUGAAUUCUCUGUCUCCUCUUCACAUCAGAUUCAGGCCAGCAUUCCGUCUUGUUGAUUCCAGAACUGGUAUGGCUCCGUUUCCUUUUCUUUCUGUUUUCCUGAUUUGCUACGAUGGCGUGUUUGCUUUUAGGGUUUAUCCGAAUUAUACGGGUCUCCAUUAGGGUUUCCCCCAUUUUUUAAUGUUUUCAAAACAUCAAUAGAAAUCCUCUAUAGCCCUCCCGAGAUUGAUAGAUCGAGAGAUCUAUAAACCUUUUAUGCAUUUUUUUUGUUCUGUGGUUAGAUUGAAUUGAAGGAGACACGGAUCAAGGGUGGUUGAAUAGAUGCAAUUGUGGAUCUUAUGUUGGCGGGAAAGAUAGGUCCGGGCAGGGGUUUUCUAAGGGUUAGUUUUUGAAAUCUCUGCCGGGUUGCGGGUAAUGAAACUG